rnacentral:rRNA from 1 species
UACAGAGGUCCCAAGCGUUGUUCGGAUUCACUGGGCGUAAAGGGUGCGUAGGUGGUGAGGUAAGUCGGAUGUGAAAUCUCCGAGCUCAACUCGGAAAUGGCAUUGGAAACUACCUUGCUCGAGGGUUGGAGGGGGGACUGGAAUACUUGGUGUAGCAGUGAAAUGCGUAGAUAUCAAGUGGAACACCAGUGGCGAAGGCGAGUCCCUGGACAACUCCUGACACUGAGGCACGGAAAGCUAGGGGAGCAAACAGG